rnacentral:rRNA from 1 species
UGAGGAAUCUUGCGCAAUGGGGGAAACCCUGACGGAGCAACGCCGCGUGAGUGAUGAAGGUUUUCGGACUGUAAAACUCUGUUGUUUAGGACGAAAGUGCCUGUUGCAAAUAGUUGCAGGUAUUGACGGUACUGAACGAGGAAGCCACGGCUAACUACGUGCCAGCAGCCGCGGUAAUACGUAGGUGGCAAGCGUUGUCCGGAAUUAUUGGGCGUAAAGAGCAUGUAGGCGGAUACUUAAGUCUGUUGUGAAAAUGCGGGGCUCAACCCCGUAUUGCGAUGGAAACUGGGUGUCUUGAGUGCAGGAGAGGAAAGGUGAAUUCCCAGUGUAGCGGUGAAAUGCGUAGAUAUUGGGAGGAACACCAGUGGCGAAGGCGCCUUUCUGGACGGUAACUGACGCUGAGACGCGAAAGCGUGGGGAGCAAACA